GAUGAACGCUGGCGGCGUGCCUAAUACAUGCAAGUCGAGCGAACAGAUAAGGAGCUUGCUCCUUUGACGUUAGCAGCGGACGGGUGAGUAACACGUGGGUAACCUACCUAUAAGACUGGAAUAACUCCGGGAAACCGGGGCUAAUGCCGGAUAACAUUUAGAACCGCAUGGUUCUAAAGUGAAAGAUGGUUUUGCUAUCACUUAUAGAUGGACCCGCGCCGUAUUAGCUAGUUGGUAAGGUAACGGCUUACCAAGGCAACGAUACGUAGCCGACCUGAGAGGGUGAUCGGCCACACUGGAACUGAGACACGGUCCAGACUCCUACGGGAGGCAGCAGUAGGGAAUCUUCCGCAAUGGGCGAAAGCCUGACGGAGCAACGCCGCGUGAGUGAUGAAGGUCUUCGGAUCGUAAAACUCUGUUAUUAGGGAAGAAUAAAUGUGUAAGUAACUGUGCACGUCUUGACGGUACCUAAUCAGAAGGCCACGGCUAACUACGUG
rnacentral:rRNA from 1 species